rnacentral:lncRNA from 1 species
UUUUAGAGAGAGAGAGAGAAUUUUAAUUUAUCUUUUUUUUAGUCUUUUGGCGGAUACAACAUCUUUGUAUGUGGUGCUGAGGAUCAAACCCGGGCCGCACGCAUGCCAGGCGAGCGCAAUACGGCUUGAGCCACAUCCCCAGCCCUCACAUUAGAAUUUGACUACAAAUAAAAAUUUGCCUUGCCAAGACUCCAAGAGCAAUACCCCUUUAAUUAAUGAACUUUUGAAGAGCCAAUUCUCAAGCUUUGAAUUUCACUUGGUUUUCACUCCACCAGACGUCAAACAGUAACAUUUCAAAUAUUUCAUAUAAUAGCUGGGUUUGGGUAAGGUUUCAGGCUACCUCCUAAUUCUAAGUAGCAGACUAGAGUAGUUUUUCUUCCUCCCCAGUACAUCUCCACAAAGCAUCUCUCUUGACUUUAGCCAACAAAUAAAAUGUUUUGCAUCCUUAAGGCAUUUUUAUUUAUGAACUUUUUGAAGGCCAAUUAAAGCAAUCAACAAAGAUGAUGGAUCAAAAAAGUUUUGGAAGUGUUUUGGAUAUUGUGAAAAUCAUAAGUGAAGCCUGGAAUUAGGAAUUUGGAGGAAACUCCCUUAUUCAAUAUUUUUGAAGGCAUUUGUAUAACUAAAAAUCAUCACUGAAACUGAUUGACAAUGCAGAGUGAGUGGAUCUAGAAGUUAACUUCUGUAAACCUGGUUAUGUUGUUAGAAAUUUCUCAGAAGCUCAGCGAAGUAGAUAUUUUUUUAAAAAAAUGGAAGAGUAAGACAUCAUUGAAACUGUCCCUCUCCUAACAUUUAGUUUUCACAAACUGAGAGGUACUCAUCUGAACAUCAUUGAAAUUUUUUUUUCUUUGUGGCAGAUGUCCCUAAUUUUCAAUGCAGUUCAAAGGUCUCUGGAGUAAGGAAAAAAUCUAUGUAUGCUCUAGGAAGAUUUACCAGGAAAAGAUGGCAUGUUCUGUCCCAACUUCAUUAAACUAAGAGUCUAAGAAACCUCGGCCAGUCCAGCCCUUGAAGAAAAAUACCUCAAAGGAACAUUUAUAUCAUAGUUCAUAUUGUUUAAUUUUGUAUGGUUAAUAAAUAUUUUGAAGAAUAUUUGUUUUGAGUUCUGACAUGAUAUGAAGUGGAUUACCAGCCCCAGCAUACUGAUUUAUGCCAAUGGGAAAUAAUGUACAUCAUCUGUAUUUAAGGAUGAUUACUCAGUAGGAGAGUCACCUUUGUGAAGGUGAGAAUAUGGACGCUUGAGGGAGUUAAACAAUUUAGGAAUAGGUACUCAGAGCAGAACCAAAAUUCCUACUCGGAUCUCAUUUGAAGAACUGUGUUUUUCCAGACACUUGAAAGUUGAGGACAAAAACCAAUUAAAG